rnacentral:rRNA from 1 species
AUGGACGCGCCGAGCGGCACGGCCAAGCGCAAGCGCUCGUCCGCCGAAGCCCCGGCCCCCGUCGGCGUCGAUGACGUGUCCGACACCGAGGUCGAGGAGUUCUACGCCAUCCUCCGCCGCAUGCGGGACGCCUCCCGCCGGCUCGUCUCGGGCGGGGUCGCCGCCGCCAGGGCCCGCGCCCCGGCCCCGCGCACGCCGGCCUGGUGCCCCAGCUUCUCCUGGGAGGACUUCGCGCCGCCCGCCCCACCACCGCCGCCUCCAUCGCAGCAGCCCGCCGACGAGCGCGUCGCCGAGAACGCCUCGCCGCCGCGGCGACCCGUCCCCCGCGGCCUCGACCUCAACGCCGAGCCGGAGCCAGAGGUCACCCCCUCGUAG